CCUACGGGGGGCAGCAGUGAGGAAUAUUGGUCAAUGGACGAGAGUCUGAACCAGCCAAGUAGCGUGAAGGAUGACUGCCCUAUGGGUUGUAAACUUCUUUUAUAUGGGAAUAAAACGUUCCACGUGUGGGAUUUUGUAUGUACCAUAUGAAUAAGGAUCGGCUAACUCCGUGCCAGCAGCCGCGGUAAUACGGAGGAUCCGAGCGUUAUCCGGAUUUAUUGGGUUUAAAGGGAGCGUAGGUGGAUUGUUAAGUCAGUUGUGAAAGUUUGCGGCUCAACCGUAAAAUUGCAGUUGAAACUGGCAGUCUUGAGGACAGUAGAGGUGGGCGGAAUUCGUGGUGUAGCGGUGAAAUGCUUAGAUAUCACGAAGAACUCCGAUUGCGAAGGCAGUUCACUGGACUGCAACUGACACUGAGGCUCGAAAGUGUGGGUAUCAAACAGGAUUAGAUACCCUGGUAGUC
rnacentral:rRNA from 1 species